rnacentral:rRNA from 1 species
CAGGCUUAACACAUGCAAGUCGAGGGGCAGCAUGGUCUUAGCUUGCUAAGGCCGAUGGCGACCGGCGCACGGGUGAGUAACACGUAUCCAACCUGCCGUCUACUCUUGGACAGCCUUCUGAAAGGAAGAUUAAUACAAGAUGGCAUCAUGAGUCCGCAUGUUCACAUGAUUAAAGGUAUUCCGGUAGACGAUGGGGAUGCGUUCCAUUAGAUAGUAGGCGGGGUAACGGCCCACCUAGUCUUCGAUGGAUAGGGGUUCUGAGAGGAAGGUCCCCCACAUUGGAACUGAGACACGGUCCAAACUCCUACGGGAGGCAGCAGUGAGGAAUAUUGGUCAAUGGGCGAGAGCCUGAACCAGCCAAGUAGCGUGAAGGAUGACUGCCCUAUGGGUUGUAAACUUCUUUUAUAAAGGAAUAAAGUCGGGUAUGGAUACCCGUUUGCAUGUACUUUAUGAAUAAGGAUCGGCUAACUCCGUGCCAGCAGCCGCGGUAAUACGGAGGAUCCGAGCGUUAUCCGGAUUUAUUGGGUUUAAAGGGAGCGUAGAUGGAUGUUUAAGUCAGUUGUGAAAGUUUGCGGCUCAACCGUAAAAUUGCAGUUGAUACUGGAUAUCUUGAGUGCAGUUGAGGCAGGCGGAAUUCGUGGUGUAGCGGUGAAAUGCUUAGAUAUCACGAAGAACUCCGAUUGCGAAGGCAGCCUGCUAAGCUGCAACUGACAUUGAGGCUCGAAAGUGUGGGUAUCAAACAGGAUUAGAUACCCUGGUAGUCCACACGGUAAACGAUGAAUACUCGCUGUUUGCGAUAUACUGCAAGCGGCCAAGCGAAAGCGUUAAGUAUUCCACCUGGGGAGUACGCCGGCAACGGUGAAACUCAAAGGAAUUGACGGGGGCCCGCACAAGCGGAGGAACAUGUGGUUUAAUUCGAUGAUACGCGAGGAACCUUACCCGGGCUUAAAUUGCAGAUGAAUUACGGUGAAAGCCGUAAGCCGCAAGGCAUCUGUGAAGGUGCUGCAUGGUCGUCGUCAGCUCGUGCCGUGAGGCGUCGGCUUAAGUGCCAUAACGAGCGCAACCCUUGUUGUCAGUUACUAACAGGUUCCGCUGAGGACUCUGACAAGACUGCCAUCGUAAGAUGUGAGGAAGGUGGGGAUGACGUCAAAUCAGCACGGCCCUUACGUCCGGGGCUACACACGUGUUACAAUGGGGGGUACAGAGGGCCGCUACCACGCGAGUGGAUGCCAAUCCCCAAAACCUCUCUCAGUUCGGACUGGAGUCUGCAACCCGACUCCACGAAGCUGGAUUCGCUAGUAAUCGCGCAUCAGCCACGGCGCGGUGAAUACGUUCCCGGGCCUUGUACACACCGCCCGUCAAGCCAUGGGAGCCGGGGGUACCUGAAGUGCGUAACCGCGAGGAGCGCCCUAGGGUAAAACUGGUGACUGG